UGCCAGCAGCCGCGGUAAUACGGGCGCCUCAAGUGGUAGUCGCUUUUAUUGGGCCUAAAACGUCCGUAGCCGGUCUGAUACAUUCGUGGGUAAAUCAACCAUCUUAACUGGUUGAAUUCUGCGAGGACGGUCAGACUUGGGACCGGAAGAGGUGUGGGGUACGCUCAGGGUAGGGGUAAAAUCCUGUCAUCCUUAGAGGACCACCAGUUGCGAAGGCGCCACACUGGAACGGAUCCGACGGUCAGGGACGAAGCCUAGGGGCACGAACCGGAUUAGAUA
rnacentral:rRNA from 1 species